UACAGAGACUGCAAGCGUUAUUCGGAUUCACUGGGCGUAAAGGGUGCGCAGGCGGCCAAGUGUGUUAGGCGUGAAAGCCCGGGGCUUAACCCCGGAAUUGCACCUAAAACUACAUGGCUAGAGCAUUGGAGAGGGUAGCAGAAUUCAUGGUGUAGCAGUAGAAAUGCGUAGAUAUCAUGAGGAAUACCAGAGGCGAAGGCGGCUACCUGGACAAUUGCUGACGCUCAGGCACGAAAGCGUGGGGAGCAAAAGGG
rnacentral:rRNA from 1 species